rnacentral:tRNA from 1 species
GCCUGGCUGGCUCAGUCAGUAGAGCAUGGGGCUCUUGAUCUCUGGGUCGUGAGUCCAAGCCCCACCCUGGGCA